GCUGCUGCCGUUUGAUCCUACGCACCCCCGAAACCCUCUAGUGGAGCGGGAGCCCCUGAGCAUCGGGCCGCGCCAUCGGGGGUCACAUCGCCAGGAAGGAGGUGACGGGGGCGGCGCGGGGCGCGGACACUCCCCGCCGAGAGCCCGCCUGCCAUGGAUUCGGAAUAUUUCAGCGGCGACCAGUCAGGUGGGGCAGCAGAUGAUGGUGGCGCUACCCCAGUACAGGAUGAACGGGAUUCAGGGUCAGACGUUGAGGAUGAUGUAAAUGAGCAACACUCUGGAUCAGACACUGGAAGUGUAGAACGUCAUUCAGAGAAUGAACCUAGUGAUCGAGAGGAUGGCUUCAACAAAAGACACCAUGUGACAGAUUCUGAGAAUGAUGACCCCUCAAAUCUUAAUGCCAGUGACUCUGAGAGUGAGGAGCUUCAAAGGCAAAAGGACAGUGACUCUGAAUCUGAAGAACACGCAGAGCCUCCUGCAAGUGAUUCUGAAAAUGAGGACACUAAUCAGCAUGGGAGCGACUCUGAGAGUGAGGAGACCGGGAAGUUACCUGUCAGUGACUCUGAAAAUGAGGAACUUCUUAAUGGGCAUGCAAGUGACUCAGAAAAUGAAGAUGUUAGGAAGCAUCCUGCCAGUGAUUCAGAAAUGGAAGAGCUCCCCAAAAGUCCUGCCAGUGACUCUGAAACAGAGGAUGCUUUAAAACCUCAAAUCACUGAUUCUGAAAGUGAGGAACCUCCACAGCACCAAGCCAGUGAUUCUGAAAACGAGGAGCUUCCCAAACCUCGAAUUAGUGAUUCGGAAAGUGAGGAGCUUCCUAAGCCUCGGGUCAGUGACUCUGAAAGUGAGGAGCCUCAUAGGAUUCAGGCCAGUGACUCAGAAAAUGAGGAGCUUCCCAAACCCCGUAUCAGUGACUCAGAAAGUGAGGACCCACCAAGGCACCAAGCCAGUGACUCAGAAAAUGAGGAGCUUCCCAAACCCCGUAUCAGUGACUCAGAAAGUGAGGACCCACCAAGGCAUCAAGCCAGUGACUCAGAAAAUGAGGAGCUUCCCAAACCUCGAAUUAGUGAUUCGGAAAGUGAGGACCCCCCAAGGAACCAGGCCAGUGAUUCAGAAAAUGAGCUUUCCAAGCCCCGAGUCAGUGACUCUGAGAGUGAGGAGCCUCAGAAGGGACCUGCCAGUGAUUCUGAAACUGAGGAUGCCUCCAGACACAAACAAAAGCCAGAAUCAGAUGAUGAUAGUGAUGGGGAGAAUAAGAGAGAGGAUACAGAAAUGCAGAAUGACUCCUUUCAUUCAGAUAGCCAUGUAGACAGAAAAAGGAUCCAGAGUUCUGACAGCGAGGAGGAAGAAACCAAAAGGCCAAAAAUUGACAGUGAUGAAGAUGAAGAAAAAGUUGGGGAGGAGGAGAAAGUAGCGAAGCGAAAGGCUCCUGUGCUUUCUGAUAGUGAAGAUGAAGAGAAAGCAUCAGCAAAGAAGAGUCGUGUUGUCUCUGAUGCAGAUGACUCUGACAGUGAUGUUAUAUCAGACAAAUCAGGCAAAAGAGAGAAGACUCUAGCAUCUGACAGUGAAGAAGAAGUAGGGAAAGAAGAGUUGUCUGAUAAGAAAAAUGAAGAGAAGGAUCUGUUUGGGAGUGAUAGUGAGUCUGGGAAUGAAGAAGAAAAUCUUAUUGCAGACAUAUUUGGAGAAUCUGGCGAUGAAGAGGAAGAAGAAUUUACAGGUUUUAACCAAGAAGAUUUGGAGGAAGAAAAAAGUGAAACACAGGUAAAAGAAGCAGAAGAUUCAGAUUCUGAUGAUAACAUAAAGAGAGGAAAACAUAUGGACUUCCUGUCGGAUUUCGAGAUGAUGUUGCAGCGGAAAAAGAGCAUGAGCGGCAAGCGCAGGCGUAACCGAGAUGGUGGUACUUUUAUUAGUGACGCUGACGACGUAGUGAGUGCUAUGAUUGUCAAGAUGAAUGAGGCUGCGGAGGAAGACAGACAGUUGAACAAUCAAAAAAAGCCAGCACUGAAAAAAUUAACAUUAUUACCUACUGUGGUCAUGCACCUUAAGAAGCAGGACCUUAAAGAAACAUUUAUUGACAGUGGUGUGAUGUCUGCCAUCAAAGAAUGGCUCUCCCCUCUACCAGAUAGGAGUUUGCCAGCAUUGAAGAUACGAGAGGAGCUAUUGAAGAUUCUGCAAGAGCUACCUAGUGUGAGCCAGGAGACCCUGAAGCAUAGUGGGAUUGGACGAGCAGUGAUGUAUCUCUAUAAACACCCCAAGGAAUCAAGGUCCAACAAGGAUAUGGCAGGGAAAUUAAUCAAUGAAUGGUCUCGGCCUAUAUUCGGUCUUACCUCAAACUACAAAGGUAUGACAAGAGAAGAAAGAGAGCAGAGAGAUCUAGAACAAAUGCCUCAACGACGGAGAAUGAACAGCACUGGUGGUCAGACACCCCGAAGAGACCUGGAAAAGGUGCUGACAGGAGAAGAGAAGGCCCUCAGACCUGGAGAUCCUGGAUUCUGUGCCCGAGCAAGGGUCCCCAUGCCCUCAAAUAAGGACUAUGUUGUCAGACCUAAGUGGAAUGUGGAAAUGGAGUCAUCCAGGCCUGGUAUUCUUAAAAAGGGCCUAAGCCGAUUGGAAAAGCAUAAGAGGCGAUUUGCAGAACAGAAACGACUCAGCAAAGUGCACCGUGCUGUCAAGUUCAGCAUUGAAGGCAACAGGAUGCCCCUGUAGUCCUGGCCCAACCAGAGUGUAUCCGGGAGGUAUCCCCAAGGAAGCAUGCUCUGUGCAUGAGCUUGAAUUGUCAGCAGCUAGAGUGAAAACAAGUGUGCGUGUGCUUUCCUAACCAGAAAAGGCCCAGCCCACUUCUAGUUACUGAAAUAAUGACCUUAACAAACACUUCAUGACUUUCAAGUUCUGUUGAAUAUUUAGAAAUCAAAAUGGAAGUCCCUUCCUUUAUAGGUACCCCAGAAACUCAUGGAUAAUUAAUUCCCUGUUUCAGGGGACCUCCAAGAAGGGUAUCAGUCGACUGGAUAAGCAGAUGAGAAAGUUCACAGAUAUCAGAAAAAAAAGCAGAUCUGCACACGCAGUGAAAA